ACCAAAACAGAAACCUGAUACCAAAUACGAAACCGCAGAAUUCAUUUUGAGCGAGCGUCUUCAUUUCAUUUUACAACCUUGAUAUAAAAAUCAUUUAUUGUUGAAAUAAUGCAGAACAAUUUUGCAAUUGUUAAGUUUCUAUUGACUGAUGAGGUUGCAGUUCUGCCAGUGACCUGGUUGUCAACAAAGGGAUGUGUGUGGCCUCCCUUAAAAGCGUAUGAAGUAAUGAAACUUGUUAUGAAGCUAACUAAACCUUCUCCAGAUUGGAUUUGCCACGAAGCAAAACUUUUGGGUGCUGUGAGGAGAAAUCCUUCGAUCCAAGACAUAGCAACAGACCAUGAAAUUGAAAAAUGUAU